GCGCAUCUGUGCAUGCAGCAUAUCAAUAAGCGGAGGAAAAGAAACUAACAAGGAUUCCCUUAGUAACGGCGAGUGAAGCGGGAAGAGCUCAAAUUUGAAAUCUUCAAGGUUUUACCUUGACGAAUUGUAGUUUAAAGAAGUGUUUUCUGUUGAAGUUUUGGUAAAGGUUCUUUGGAAUAGGACAUCAUAGAGGGUGAGAAUCCCGUAUUUGACCAUUAUUUUCAGCUGUGUGAUACACUUUCAAAGAGUCGGAUUGUUUGGGAAUGCAGUCCAAAAUGGGUGGUAAAUUUCAUCUAAAGCUAAAUAUUGGCGAGAGACCGAUAGCGAACAAGUACCGUGAGGGAAAGAUGAAAAGAACUUUGAAAAGAGAGUUAAACAGUACGUGAAAUUGUCAAAAGGGAAGCGUUUGACACCAGUGUUGUUUUCUCGAAAAUCAAUUAAAAAGAGUUAGAUUUUGUGUUGUAUUGACCUUAACAGCUUGCAUUCACUCUUUCCUAGCUUUUUUUAAUGCACUUUUCGUUUAACAAGUCAACAUCAGUUUCUUUUGUUGUAAAAAGGUCAUUGGAAGGUGGCUUUCUUUUCGGAGAAAGUGUUUAUAGCCUUUGACUCCUGCAAUCGGAGAGACUGAGGUCUGCAGCGUAGAUCCUUCGGGGUUAGAUACAUUUGUGCUAAGUUAUAGCUUUUAUAUAUAGACAACUUGUUGACUAUGAUUAGUCUUGUAGCUUACUCGCUUAUGCCAUUUUACCUACGCUUAGGAUGUUGACGCGCCUGUGUGCGUGAUCUAUACAUGACUCUGUGCAUGCAGCAUAUCAAUAAGCGGAGGAAAAGGCUGCGGGACUGAACGACCGCCACCUACGCUUAGGAUGUUGACGCGCGUGUGUGCGUGAGUCUAUACAUGACUCUGUGCAUAUCAAUAAGCGGAGGAAAAGUCAACUACCUACGCUUAGGAUGUUGACGCGCGUGUGUGCGUG
rnacentral:rRNA from 1 species